CAAGGGUAGUGGCGAACGUUCGCGUAAANACGUAGACAACCUGCCCGCGAGUGGGGGAUAACAGCCCGAAAGGGCUGCUAAUACCGCAUGUUGGCGGCUUCUGGCAUCAGGGGCUGGCUAAAGGAGCAAUUCGCUCGCGGAUGGGUNUGCGGCCUAUCAGGUAGUUGGUGGGGUAACGGCCUACCAAGCCGACGACGGGUAGCUGGUNUGAGAGGAUGAUCAGCCGGACGGGGACUGAGACACGGCCCCGACUCCUUNGGGAGGCAGCAAUGAGGAAUAUUGCGCAAUGGGGGAAACCCUGACGCAGCGACGCCGCGUGGGUGAGGAAGUCCUUCGGGAUGUAAAGCCCUUUUGACCGGGACGAAACGGACGGUACCGGUCGAAGAAGCCCCGGCUAANUACGUGCCAGCAGCCGCGUUAAUACGUAGGGGCCAAGCGUUNUCCGGAUUUACUGGGCGUAAAGCGCGCGUAGGCGGAACGGUCAGUCUGGCCUGAAAGCCCCCGGUUCAACCGGGGAGGGUGGCUGGAAACUGCCUUCUUGAGGAUGAGAGAGGCGUGUGGAAUUCCUGGUGUAGCGGUGAAAUGCGUAGAUAUCAGGAGGAACACCCGUGGCGAAGGCGGCACGCUGGUUCAUCCCUGACGCUGAGGUGCGAAAGCGUGGGGAGCGAACGGGAUUAGAUACCCCGGUAGUCCACGCCGUAAACGAUGGUCACUAGGUGUGUGCGGUAUCGACCCCGCACGUGCCGCAGCUAACGCAAUAAGUGACCCGC
rnacentral:rRNA from 1 species